CCGACGGUGAGGGGCGAAAGCUGGGGGAGCAAACCGGAUUAGAUACCCGGGUAGUCCCAGCUGUAAACGAUGCGCGUUAGGUGUGUCAGUGACCACGUGUCACUGAUGUGCCGAAGGGAAACCGUGAAACGCGCCGCCUGGGGAGUACGGUCGCAAGGCUGGAACUUAAAGGAAUUGGCGGGGGAGCACCACAACGGGUGGAGCCUGCGGUUUAAUCGGACUCAACGCCGGAAAUCUCACCGGAUAA
rnacentral:rRNA from 1 species